rnacentral:rRNA from 1 species
AGAGUUUGAUCCUGGCUCAGGAUGAACGCUGGCGGCGUGCUUAACACAUGCAAGUCGAACGAAGCACUUUAUUUGAUUUCCUUCGGGACUGAUUAUUUUGUGACUGAGUGGCGGACGGGUGAGUAACGCGUGGGUAACCUGCCUUGUACAGGGGGAUAACAGUUGGAAACGGCUGCUAAUACCGCAUAAGCGCACGGCAUCGCAUGAUGCAGUGUGAAAAACUCCGGUGGUAUAAGAUGGACCCGCGUUGGAUUAGCUGGUUGGUGGGGUAACGGCCCACCAAGGCGACGAUCCAUAGCCGGCCUGAGAGGGUGAACGGCCACAUUGGGACUGAGACACGGCCCAGACUCCUACGGGAGGCAGCAGUGGGGAAUAUUGCACAAUGGGGGAAACCCUGAUGCAGCGACGCCGCGUGAAGGAAGAAGUAUCUCGGUAUGUAAACUUCUAUCAGCAGGGAAGAUAAUGACGGUACCUGACUAAGAAGCCCCGGCUAACUACGUGCCAGCAGCCGCGGUAAUACGUAGGGGGCAAGCGUUAUCCGGAUUUACUGGGUGUAAAGGGAGCGUAGACGGUGUGGCAAGUCUGAUGUGAAAGGCAUGGGCUCAACCCGUGGACUGCAUUGGAAACUGUCAUACUAGAGUGUCGGAGGGGUAAGCGGAAUUCCUAGUGUAGCGGUGAAAUGCGUAGAUAUUAGGAGGAACACCAGUGGCGAAGGCGGCCUACUGGGCACCAACUGACGCUGAGGCUCGAAAGUGUGGGUAGCAAACAGGAUUAGAUACCCUGGUAGUCCACACCGUAAACGAUGAUUACUAGGUGUUGGAGGAUUGACCCCUUCAGUGCCGCAGUUAACACAAUAAGUAAUCCACCUGGGGAGUACGACCGCAAGGUUGAAACUCAAAGGAAUUGACGGGGACCCGCACAAGCGGAGGAACAUGUGGUUUAAUUCGAUGAUACGCGAGGAACCUUACCCGGGCUUAAAUUGCAAAUGAAUUAUGGGGAAACCCAUAGGCCGUAAGGCAUUUGUGAAGGUGCUGCAUGGUUGUCGUCAGCUCGUGCCGUGAGGUGUCGGCUUAAGUGCCAUAACGAGCGCAACCCUUAUCUUCAGUUACUAACAGGUCAUGCUGAGGACUCUGGAGAGACUGCCGUCGUAAGAUGUGAGGAAGGUGGGGAUGACGUCAAAUCAGCACGGCCCUUACGUCCGGGGCUACACACGUGUUACAAUGGGGGGUACAGAAGGCCGCUACCUGGUGACAGGAUGCCAAUCCCAAAAACCUCUCUCAGUUCGGAUCGAAGUCUGCAACCCGACUUCGUGAAGCUGGAUUCGCUAGUAAUCGCGCAUCAGCCAUGGCGCGGUGAAUACGAACCCGGGCCUUGUACACACCGCCCGUCA